rnacentral:misc_RNA from 1 species
UUAGUUGAGUUGAGUUGAGUUUUUCCCCCCCAAUGCUUUCAUAUCAGUAUCGCUACUUUCAUUCUUGUUUCAUGUGAUUACUUUUGGGGCUUAGUUUGUCUACUUCUAGUUUUAUCCUGUUAGGCAAUUUUAAUUGUUAUUGUUAUUAUUUUAGUUUGUUGACUAGCUGGUAGCGGGUGGAUGACAAACUAGCAAUGGUGAGGAGCAGACCAUCAACGGCAAGGGAGAGAGGAGGCGUGGCAAAAGGUGAGAGAAGCCAAGGCCAUAAGGAUCAUGGGUGUGGGUCAAGAAUUGAGAAGCAGAGGUGAGCAAGGAAGAAUCAUGGGUUUGGCCUGUGGGUCAAGAAUUGAGAUUUUGAGAAGCAGAGAGAGGAGAGGUGAGGUGAGAAAGGAGGAAGGAGAGAGAGAAGUGAGGGCUAAGGGGGCUAGGGCAGCAUUAUUUCUCUUUAACCAAAUGCAAAAAUGAUGGUGGAUUAGGGAAAUAUCAAUUUUAUUUCUAUUUUUUUUAUUUGUUUGAAAUUAUACAGUUUGGUUCUUUCAGUUUUUAUUAAACCUUAAAACUAAAAACUGAACCAAAUUUGCUAAAUUGGUCGGUUCAAUUCGGUUCUUUCGGCUGGAACCGAAUAGCGAAAACACCCCUACUUAAUUCUCAGCCCAGGAAACAUCUGAAUUCGUCCUUACAUUUCAGUUUUCUCUAGGAAUGUAAGGAUUUAUACCAUAGAUUAAUAUCAUCAUUGCGAAAUGAAAUUAUUCAUAAGAUCAUCUUAACAAACAUGAAAAAUACAGGAAAAUGACUGAUGUGUUUUGAAUGCAUGUAAG